rnacentral:tRNA from 1 species
GGAGGCUAACUUAUAUUAAAGUGUUAGAUUUUUAAUCUGAAGAAGGGUUUUGCCGCCUUGUU